UCCCUCUCUCGCCUACUCUCCCUCCAGUUCCCUCCAAUCCCUCGAAACCCUAACCCUAGAGCCCUCUCCUUCAUCUUCUUCCUCCUCUUCUUCUUGGUUCCUUCGCUUCCUCUCCUCCUCCUCCUCCCAUGGCUUUGAUCCUCGCUGGAUCGAAGUUUUUCGCAUGUCCAAGCCUUCCUUCUACCUCCUCCUCCAGCAUCUCUCCCCGUCC
rnacentral:lncRNA from 1 species